GACGAACGCUGGCGGCGUGCUUAACACAUGCAAGUCGAACGGAAAGGCCCUGCUUUUGUGGGGUGCUCGAGUGGCGAACGGGUGAGUAACACGUGAGUAACCUGCCCUUGACUUUGGGAUAACUUCAGGAAACUGGGGCUAAUACCGGAUAGGAGCUCCUGCUGCAUGGUGGGGGUUGGAAAGUUUCGGCGGAUGGGGAUGGACUCGCGGCUUAUCAGCUUGUUGGUGGGGGAGUGGCUUACCCAGGCAUUGACGGGUAGCCGGCCUGAGAGGGUGACCGGCGACAUUGGGACUGAGAUACGGACCAGAGUCCUACGGUAGACAGCAGUGGAGAGUAUUGUACAAUGGGCGGAAGCCUGAUGCAGCAACGCCGCGAGCGGGAUGACGGUCUUCGGGUGGUAAACCGCUUUCGCCUGUGACGAAGCGGGAGUGACGGUAAUGGGUAAAGAAGCACCGGCUAACUACGUG
rnacentral:rRNA from 1 species